AUACGGAGGGUGCAAGCGUUAAUCGGAAUUACUGAGCGUAAAGCGUACGUAGGCGGUUCGUUAAGUUAGAUGUGAAAGCCCCGGGCUUAACCUGGGAACUGCAUUUAAAACUGGCGAACUAGAGUUGAGUAGAGGGGAGUGGAAUUUCAGGUGUAGCGGUGAAAUGCGUAGAGAUCUGAAGGAACACCAGUGGCGAAGGCGACUCCCUGGACUUGAACUGACGCUGAGGUACGAAAGCGUGGGUAGCAAACGGGAUUAGAAACCCUAGUAGUCC
rnacentral:rRNA from 1 species